rnacentral:rRNA from 1 species
CUAAGGUUUCCUGAGGAAGGCUCGUCCGCUCAGGGUUAGUCGGGACCUAAGCCGAGGCCGAAAGGCGUAGGCGAUGGACAACAGGUUGAUAUUCCUGUACCACCUCCUCACCAUUUGAGCAAUGGGGGGACGCAGGAGGAUAGGGCAAGCGCGGUAUUGGAUAUCCGCGUCCAAGCAGUUAGGCUGGGAAAUAGGCAAAUCCGUUUCCCGUAAGGCUGAGCUGUGAUGGCGAGCGAAAUAUAGUAGCGAAGUUCCUGAUUCCACACUGCCAAGAAAAGCCUCUAGCGAGGUGAGAGGUGCCCGUACCGCAAACCGACACAGGUAGGCGAGGAGUGAAUCCUAUGGUGAUCGAGAGAACUCUCG